GGUUCUAUGGUGUAAUGGUUAGCACUUCAGACUGAAUCUGACAUUCUGAGUUCAAAUCUCAGUAGGACCU
rnacentral:tRNA from 1 species